ACAGGCGUAGGCGAUGGAUAACAGGUUGAUAUUCCUGUACCACCUAUAAUCGUUUUAAUCGAUGGGGGGGACGCAGUAGGAUAGGCGAAGCGUGCGAUUGGAUUGCACGUCUAAGCAGUAAGGCUGAGUAUUAGGCAAAUCCGGUACUCGUUAAGGCUGAGCUGUGAUGGGGAGAAGACAUUGUGUCUUCGAGUCGUUGAUUUCACACUGCCGAGAAAAGCCUCUAGAUAGAAAAUAGGUGCCCGUACCGCAAACCGACACAGAUAGUCAAGAUGAGAAUUCUAAGGUGAGCGAGCGAACUCUCGUUAAGGAACUCGGCAAAAUGACCCCGUAACUUCGGGAGAAGGGGUGCUCUUUAGGGUUAACGCCCAGAAGAGCCGCAGUGAAUAGGCCCAAGCGACUGUUUAUCAAAAACACAGGUCUCUGCUAAACCGUAAGGUGAUGUAUAGGGGCUGACGCCUGCCCGGUGC
rnacentral:rRNA from 1 species